AAACACGGACCAAGGAGUUUUGCGUGUGCGCAAGUCAUUGGGUACGCAAACCCAAAGGCGCAAUGAAAGUGAAGGAAACUGAACUUUCCGAAGGAGGAUGUGUGUCGUUCUCGACAAGAGGGCGGCACCGCACUCCUAGGGCGUCCCAUCUCGUCACGAGAGGAGGCGCACCCAGAGCGCACACGCUGAUACCCGAAAGAUGGUGAACUAUGCCUGGCCAGGAUGAAGCCAGGGGAAACCCUGGUGGAGGUCCGCAGCGAUUCUGACGUGCAAAUCGAUCGUCGGAGCUGGGUUUAGGGGCGAAAGACCAAUCGAACCAUCUAGUAGCUGGUUCCCUCUGAAGUUUCCCUCAGGAUAGCUUGCGCUCCGGAAGACGAGUCUCAUCCGGUAGAGCGAAUGAUUAGAGGCCUUGGGGUCGAAACGACCUCAACCUAUUCUCAAACUCCAAAUAGAUGAGAACCCCGGCUUUCUUGAAACAAUCUCUUGUGAAGCCGGGGGCUCGGAUCAGAGUGCAAAGUGGGCCAAUUUUGGUAAGCAGAAC
rnacentral:rRNA from 1 species